GCCAGUCUGCAUUUACCAGUAACAACAUGUUUUUCAGUUCUUUGCUGGUCGGCUUAUCCGGUAGCAAAAUGUGAUGAUCUGGAUGAUUUUUCCUUUUCUGGCACAUUCCUACACUGUCUAAGCAAUCUUUGAUUUCUUCAACAGUUGGUGUCAUUUCAACAUCUCCGAAGCGAAACACCAUUCUCUCAUCAUCCCAAAAUCGAGUGACCACCUCGAUGAACUUAGGCCAUACUUCGAGAUUCAUUAUCGACG
rnacentral:lncRNA from 1 species